rnacentral:tRNA from 1 species
CAGAUAAUAUUUUAAUAAAAAAUUUUAGUUUUGGAGACUAAAGAUAAGAUUUUUCAAAUCUUUUUUCUGA